UUUGAUAUUGAUUGAGAUCAAUUCUGUAGGGAAGGUAGGAAGAUCAGAUUCAUGUCACUGGUGGUCUUGUUUUGGUAUGCUGCAGCAGCCUGCAGCAUAUUCAUCUCUGGGUUUGAUGUACAAGCUCAACCCACCACAGAUCCUUCUGAAGUGAGAGCGCUAAAUGCAAUCUUUCAGAAGUGGAAUAUUACAGACAAAGUUAAGCAAUGGAACACGACUGGUGACCCGUGCAGUGGAAUUGCAAUAGAUGAAGAUGAUGACACCGGUUAUUUCUAUGAUGCAACUAAUUACAAUCCGUUCGUCAAAUGCAACUGUUCUUAUGAUUCAAACACAACUUGCCACAUUACCCAACUGAAAGCAUCUAUAUUGGACAUUGUUGCUCCAAUUCCAGAAGAGCUCUAUGCUAUGACUUUUCUUCAAUAUCUGAAUGUGGAAAAAAAUUACUUGACAGGACCUAUCUCUGCAUCAAUUGGAAAUCUAAGCAGUGUCACAUACUUGAACUUGGGACACAACGACUUAUCAGGUGAAGUACCAAAGGACAUUGUAAAACUCAACAAUUUGACAUUCUUGGCUCUUGGGACACUCAACCUUUCUGGUUCUCUGCCACCUGAGAUAGGGUACAUAACAACACUAAUAAAGAUUUUCAUUGAUAAUUCCGGACUUAGCGGUGAGAUUCCACCAACAUUUGCUAAUCUAACAAACUUGGAGACAUUUUGGGCAACAGAUACAAACCUCACUGGCAGGCUACCAGACUUCGUAGGAGAUUGGACAAAGCUUACUACCUUGAGGUUUCAGGGAAACUCUUUUGAAGGUUCUAUACCAUCUUCACUGUCCAAAUUGACUCGUUUGACAGAGCUGCGAAUUACUGAUUUAACGAUUGACAAUGACAACUCAUCUCUUGGAUUUAUCAAGAAUAUGACGUCUCUAGAAGUCUUAAUGCUGAGGAAUAACAAUAUUACUGAUUCAAUUCCUUCCAACAUUGGAGAUUUCCUAAAAUUGGUUCACCUGGAUUUGAGCUUCAACAAUUUGGUUGGACAAAUACCAGCCUCACUAUUUAAUAUGAAUGUCCUCGCCAUCCUGUUUCUUGGAAACAACAAGUUGAAUGGUAGCCUUCCUGUGUCUAAAAGCUCAGCUCUUCUUGUUGUAGAUUUAUCUUACAAUAAUCUAGUAGGCCAGAGCUUUCCAAGUUGGGUCAGCGAACAAAACUUACAGCUUAACUUAGUGGCCAACAACUUCAGCAUAGACAGUUCAGAUAGCAGUGGUCUACCUUCAGGGUUGAAUUGCCUUCAAAGGGGCUUUCCUUGCCACCAUGAUAGUCCAGUUUAUUAUAACUUCAUGAUUAAUUGCGGUGGUCCGCAGACUAAGAUUUCUGAUGGGACUGUGUAUGAGCAGGACAGUGAGCCCCUUGGUACAGCUACAUAUUAUGUGACUGAAACAAACAGAUGGGGAGUUAGCAAUGUCGGUCUUAAAACACAGUUUGUAGCUGCAUCAUAUUUGACUGGGACCAACAUUCCGAAGUAUACCAUAUCCACUUCAUCUCCAAUCAGAAAUACUUCAGACCCUACAUUAUUUCAGACUGCAAGGAUCUCUGCUUCAUCACUCAGAUACUAUGGCUUGGGUCUUGAGAACGGAAACUACACCGUGAAGCUUGAAUUUGCAGAACAAGCUAUCCUGGAUGAGUCUACAAGAAAAAGUCUUGGAAGACGUGUGUUUGAUAUAUACAUCCAGGAUGUACGUGUUGCUAAAGAUUUUGAUAUACGAAAGGAGACAAAUAGGACAUCUUUGGUAGCUAUCGAAAGGGUAUACAACGCUCAGGUGGUUUCAGAGAAUUACCUUGAAAUCCAUUUCUUCUGGGCUGGAAAGGGGACCUGCUGCAUCCCAGAGGAGGGUACUUAUGGACCUCUUAUUUCAGCCAUCAGUGCUACACCUGAAUUCAAACCUACCGUCAGCAACAAACUGCCAAGUACCAAGAAGAAUAGGACUGGGAUGAUUGUGGGAAUUGUUGUUAGUGGGGGGGUUUUAAUUCUGUUGGUGCUGCUCUUCUAUAUUGUUCAAAGAAGAAAAUGGCACAACGCCGAUGAUGACUAUGAUGAAGAUCUGUUGGGGAUAGAUCUUGGACCUCUCACUUUCAGUUUUUCUGAACUGAAGGCAGCUACGAAUGACUUUAGUCCAGAUAAUAAGCUUGGAGAGGGAGGAUUUGGGCCCGUCUUCAAAGGUACCCUAAAUGAUGGAAGAGUGAUUGCCGUAAAACAAUUGUCUGCAUCAUCCCAUCAAGGAAAGAACCAGUUUGUGACUGAGAUUGCCACUAUAUCUGCUGUGCGACACAAUAACCUAGUAAAUCUGUUUGGAUUCUGCACUGAGGGAGCUAAACGGCUCCUUGUCUAUGAGUAUCUGGAGAACAAGAGUCUUGAUCAAGCGUUAUUUGUUACGGCUUGUAUGAACAGGAAAAGAACUUAGCAUCUUGAUUGGCGAACACGUUUUGAUAUAUGCUUGGGCGUUGCUAGAGGUUUAACAUAUCUUCAUGAAGAAUCAAGGCUUCGAAUUGUACACAGAGAUGUGAAGGCAAGUAACAUUCUUCUUGACUCUAAUCUCAUUGCCAAAAUAUCAGAUUUUGGUUUGGCCAAGCAUUAUGAUGAGAAAAAGACUCACAUGAGUACUCGAGUUGCGGGAACAAUCGGGUAUCUUGCACCGGAAUAUGCCAUGCGUGGACACUUGACUGAGAAGACUGAUGUGUUUGCCUAUGGUGUUGUCAUUCUAGAAAUUGUCAGCGGUAGGCCAAAUUCUGAUCCAAGUUUGGAAGGAGAUAUGGUUUAUCUUCUUGAACUGGCCUGGAACUUGCAUGAAAACAAACGUGAAGUUGAUCUUGUAGACUCUAGAUUAUCUGAAUUCAAUGAGGAAGAAGCAAGACGAAUUAUUAACAUAGGACUUGUGUGCACUCAAUCAUCACCAAAUCUACGACCCUCUAUGUCUCGCGUGAUCGGAAUGCUUACAGGAGAUAUUGAAGUGACUCCUGCUACUUCGAAGCCUGGUUACUUGACAGACUGGAAAUUCGAUGAUGUAACUACUAUCACCAGCCAAACGAGAUUCGGUGAUGGAAGUACCGGCACCAGUUUAGCAACUGAUAAUUCAAUUAGAGGAACUGACUUCAGCUUUUACAACUCAUCGGCAGGUACAAGUGUGAUGGGGGAUUCAGGGCAAUUACCUUCAAAUACCACCCUUCCAAUACUUAGUAGUACAAAUGGUGAUGGUAGGAGCACUGUUGGUUCUUUGUGUGUUCAAUUUGUUUUUUCUGGCAAUGGCUUUGUCCUUCUCCUCAAUGAGCUCAUGAAUUAUUCAGACCUUAUUCAAUCCAUCCAAAAACGAUUUAAGUUUUCGUGCAAUGAUUCUUUUCACCUUGAGUAUUCAUCGCCUGCUUGUUCUGCCAUCUAUUUAGAUAAUGAAUCUGAUUUUAAGAUGCUCUUCUGCUGUGCAAAAAUUUAUCAUAUGGAUAAUGUAGUAGUGACAAUAGUCAAGGAUGUCGGGAAAAGUUGUUCAUCAACUAGUGUAGUGGUUGAUGAUUGUGCUGAGAUGAUAGAUGAGAAUGACUAUCUAGGUGAUGCUUUUAAGGAUGGACCUCAGAAUGAUUCAAUUUACGUUAAUGCUGUUUGUGUAAAUCGUGAUGUUGACCACUGUGGCUGGGAAGUACUUGGACCUGUUGCUUCUAUUAAUCAGUGCUUUUACAUUACGCAGUUUAAUAAUCCCCGUGAGAUCAUGAGCAAUUUCAAGUCCACUUAUGGUUAUGAAAUUAGUUAUAAGGUUGCUUCAAGAGCAAAAAAAAGGUGUGUGGAAAAGAUGUAUGGCUCGAAAUGUGAUUCGUUUUCUAUGUUAAGCUGGUUUAGGGAACCUGUGUUGGAGACUAAUCCGAGUUCUUCAGUUGUUCUUGAAGUUGAUGAGAGUACCGAGAGGUUUAAAAGGGUUUUUGUAGCUUAUGCCGGCCAAAUUCAGGGUUUCAAGUUCAGCCUACCUGCAUUUGAUCUCAUUUUUCCUGGUAAUCCUCAUCUUUACUGUUAUCAUCAUUUGCGAUACAACCUUAGUCGAAAGUAUAAGAACAAAGGAGGGGAAAUUGUUGUUGCUGAUGUGUUACAAAAAUUCUUUAAAGUGGCUUAUGCAUCGACUGAAAAGUCUUUCUACUUUCAUUUAAAAAAUUUGAGAGACGAGGGUGGUGCUGCUAUUAUUGAUGAAUUCAUAAGGGAGAUUCCAUUGGAACAUUGGUGUCGUGCUUUUUUUAAAGGUUGUCGGUAUGGGAUUAUGGCAAAUGGUAUUGCUGAAUCCUUUAAUAAUUGGAUUGUUGCUGAGCGUUCACUGCCCCCUUUCGCUAUGUUAGAUCAAACAAGAAUGAAAGAAAUGAAGAUGAUGUCAGAAAGGAGUGUUGAGUCGAAAUCUUGGACUACCAAGCUUACUCCUAAAAUGGAGAAGAGGCUGAAAGAGCAGCUUGAUAGGUCUCGUGUGUUCAGGGUGAUUGCUUCCCAUGAAAAUGUUUAUGAGGUUAGGAAUGAUAAGUACUCCUAUUCAGUGGACCUCUCUACUCGUACUUGUUCAUGUGUGAAGUGGCAGAUUAAUUGCUUCCCAUGCGCUCAUGCACUUGUUGCUAUACAAAGUGCAAGACUUGAUGUGUAUGAUUUCAUUGAUCCUUAUUUUACUGCUGAAUACUAUAGGAUGUGUUAUAGCUUUCCUAUUGCACCCCUGAGUAACGUGGAUGCCUCUUGUUCUUCCACUGAGGACUUUAUACUACCUCCUGUUACAAAGAGGCCGGCUGGGAGGCCUAAAUCAAAGAGGAUAGCAUCUGCUGGUGAGAAGAAGCUGAUUCUAUGCGGUCGUUGUAAUAAGAUGGGUCAUCAUAACAAGAAGAGCUGUACGGAACCUUUGAACAUAUUGCUGGAGGUAUGGGUUCAUCGAUUGAGUGAUCAAUCCCGAAACGACGUUUACAGGGAGGUAGAUCCUAGAAUUGAAGUUAAGAAGGAUGUUGGCACUGAGAAGCGGUUGGAAGAGAAUGAGGUUGCUGAUAUCAACAAGGAGGUUGAUCGUGUGGAUGAGUCAGAAGAGGAGUUUUUCAAUGGCGGCAAACAAGGCAGCACAAUGACAAAAUUGGGAGAAGUGCUAGGAGAACCAAGAAGCAGCUACAAUGGGAGAUUUCAUAUCGAUUACUGUUAUGACGAGAGUUUCAUCAAGGCUAACAAAAGGGAUUUGAGCUUCAACAAUUUGGUUGGACAAAUACCAGCCUCACUAUUUAAUAUGAAUGUGCUCGCCAUCCUGUUUCUUGGAAACAACAAGUUGAAUGGUAGCCUUCCUGUGUCUAAAAGCUCAGCUCUUCUUGUUGUAGAUUUGUCUUACAAUAAUCUAAUAGGCCAGAGCUUUCCAAGUUGGGUCAGCGAACAAAACUUACAGCUUAACUUAGUGGCCAACAACUUCAGCAUAGACAGUUCAGAUAGCAGUGGUCUACCUUCAGGGUUGAAUUGCCUUCAAAGGGGCUUUCCUUGCCACCGUGAUAGUCCAGUUUAUUAUAACUUCAUGAUUAAUUGCGGUGGUCCGCAGACUAAGAUAUCCAAUGGGACUGUGUAUGAGCAGGACAGUGAGCCCCUUGGUACAGCUACAUAUUAUGUGACUGAAACAAACAGAUGGGGAGUUAGCAAUGUCGGUCUUAAAACACAGCUUGUGGCUGCAUCAUAUUUGACUGGGACCAACAUUCCGAAGUAUACCAUAUCCACUUCAUCUCCAAUCAGAAAUACUUCAGACCCUACAUUAUUUCAGACUGCAAGGAUCUCUGCUUCAUCACUCAGAUACUAUGGCUUGGGUCUUGAGAACGGAAACUACACCGUGAAGCUUGAAUUUGCAGAACAAGCUAUCCUGGAUGAGUCUACAAGAAAAAGUCAUGGAAGGCGUGUGUUUGAUAUAUACAUCCAGGACGUACUUGUUGCUAAAGAUUUUGAUAUACGAAACGAGACAAAUAGGACAUCUUUGGUAGCUAUUGAAAUGGUAUACAACGCUCAGGUGGUUUCAGAGAAUUACCUUGAAAUCCAUUUCUUCUGGGCUGGAAAGGGGACCUGCUGCAUCCCAGAGGAGGGUACUUAUGGACCUCUUAUUUCAGCCAUCAGUGCUACACCUGAAUUCAAACCUACCGUCAGCAACAAACUGCCAAGUACUAAGAAGAAUAGGACUGGGAUGAUUGUGGGAAUUGUUGUUAGUGGGGGGGUUUUAAUUCUGUUGGUGCUGCUCUUCUAUAUUGUUCAAAUAAGAAAAAGGCACAACUCCGAUGAUGACUAUGAUGAAGUGAGAGCGCUAAAUGCAAUCUUUCAGAAGUGGAAUAUUACAAACAAAGUUAAGCAAUGGAACACGACUGGUGACCCGUGCAGUGGAAUUGCGAUAGAUGAAGAUGAUGACACCAGUUAUUUCUAUGAUGCAACUAAUUACAAUCCGUUCGUCAAAUGCAACUGUUCUUAUGAUUCAAACACAACUUGCCACAUUACCCAACUGAAAGCAUCUAUAUUGGACAUUGUUGCUCCAAUUCCAGAAGAGCUCUAUACUUUGACUUUUCUUCAAUAUCUGGAUGUGAAAAAAAAUUACUUGACAGGACCUAUCUCUGCAUCAAUUGGAAAUCUAAGCAGCGUCACGUACUUGAACUUGGGACACAACGACUUAUCAGGUGAAUUUCCAAAGGACAUUGUAAAACUCAACAAUUUGACAUACUUGAACUUGGGACACAACGACUUAUCAGGUGAAUUACCAAAGGACAUUGUAAAACUCAACAAUUUGACAUACUUGGCUCUUGGGACACUCGACCUUUCUGGUUCUCUGCCACCUGAGAUAGGGUACAUAACAACACUAAUAAAUAUUUUCAUAGAUAAUUCCGGACUUAGCGGUGAGAUUCCACCAACAUUUGCUAAUCUAACAAACUUGGAGCAAUUUUGGGCAACAGAUACAAACCUCACUGGCAGGCUACCAGACUUCGUAGGAAAUUGGACAAAGCUUACUACCUUGUGA